rnacentral:rRNA from 1 species
AGUGAACGCUGGCGGUAGGCCUAACACAUGCAAGUCGAACGGCAGCACAGUAAGAGCUUGCUCUUACGGGUGGCGAGUGGCGGACGGGUGAGGAAUACAUCGGAAUCUACUUUUUCGUGGGGGAUAACGUAGGGAAACUUACGCUAAUACCGCAUACGACCUACGGGUGAAAGCAGGGGAUCUUCGGACCUUGCGCGAUUGAAUGAGCCGAUGUCGGAUUAGCUAGUUGGCGGGGUAAAGGCCCACCAAGGCGACGAUCCGUAGCUGGUCUGAGAGGAUGAUCCGCCAACCUGGGACUGUGACACGGUCCCGACUCCUACGGGAGGCAGCAGUGGGGAAUAUUGGACAAUGGGCGCAAGCCUGAUCCAGCCAUACCGCGUGGGUGAAGAAGGCCUUCGGGUUGUAAAGCCCUUUUGUUGGGAAAGAAAAGCAGCAGGUUAAUACCCCGCUGUUCUGACGGUACCCAAAGAAUAAGCACCGGCUAACUUCGUG